UAACAAGGUCUCCGUUGGUGAACCAGCGGAGGGAUCAUUACUGAGUUUACGCUCUACAACCCUUUGUGAACAUACCUAUAACUGUUGCUUCGGCGGGUAGGGUCUCCGUGACCCUCCCGGCCUCCCGCCCCCGGGCGGGUCGGCGCCCGCCGGAGGAUAACCAAACUCUGAUUUAACGACGUUUCUUCUGAGUGGUACAAGCAAAUAAUCAAAACUUUUAACAACGGAUCUCUUGGUUCUGGCAUCGAUGAAGAACGCAGCGAAAUGCGAUAAGUAAUGUGAAUUGCAGAAUUCAGUGAAUCAUCGAAUCUUUGAACGCACAUUGCGCCCGCCAGCAUUCUGGCGGGCAUGCCUGUUCGAGCGUCAUUUCAACCCUCAAGCUCUGCUUGGUGUUGGGGCCCUACAGCUGAUGUAGGCCCUCAAAGGUAGUGGCGGACCCUCCCGGAGCCUCCUUUGCGUAGUAACUUUACGUCUCGCACUGGGAUCCGGAGGGACUCUUGCCGUAAAACCCCCCAAUUUUCCAAAGGUUGACCUCGGAUCAGGUAGGAAUACCCGCUGAACUUAAGCAUAUA
rnacentral:rRNA from 2 species